rnacentral:rRNA from 1 species
CUUGACCUCAAAUCGAGUAGGACUACCCGCUGAACUUAAGCAUAUCAAUAAGCGGAGGAAAAGAAACUAACAAGGAUUCCCCUAGUAACGGCGAGUGAAGAGGGAAGAGCUCAAAUUUUGAAUCUGGCGUCUCUGGCGUCCGAAUUGUAAUCUAGAGAAGUGUUUUCCGUGACGGACCGUGCACAAGUCUCCUGGAAUGGAGCGUCAUAGAGGGUGAGAAUCCCGUAUAUGGCAUGGACUCCCGUUGCUCUGUGAUACACUCUCGACGAGUCGAGUUGUUUGGGAAUGCAGCUCUAAAUGGGUGGUAAAUGCCAUCUAAAGCUAAAUAUUGGCGAGAGACCGAUAGCGAACAAGUACCGUGAGGGAAAGAUGAAAAGCACUUUGGAAAGAGAGUGAAACAGUACGUGAAAUUGUUGAAAGGGAAACGCUUGAAGUCAGUCGCGCCGUUCGGGAUUCAGCCUUGCUUCUGCUCGGUUUACUUCCCGUUGGGUGGGUCAACAUCAGUUUCGAUCGGAGGAGAAAGGCCUGGGGAAGGUAGCAGCAUUCGUGCUGUGUUAUAGCCCCUUGUUGUAUACUUCGAUUGGGACUGAGGAUCGCAGCACGCCUCUGGCCGGGGUUCGCCCACGUACGUGCUUAGGAUGUUGGCAUAAUGGCUUUAAGCGACCCGUCUUGAAACACGGAC